AUUGAACGCUGGCGGCAGGCCUAACACAUGCAAGUCGAGCGAGCGGAGGACGGGUGAGUAAUGUAUGGGGACUGCCCGAUAGAGGGGGAUAACUACGGGAAACGGUGGAAAAUACCGCAUACUAUGGGAUGACCCAUAUGGGAUUAGGUAGUAGGUGGGGUAAAGGCUCCCCUAGGCGUCGCGCGCUAGCUGGUCUGAGAGGAUGAUCAGCCACACUGGGACUGAGACACGGCCCAGACUCCUACGGAGGCAGCAGUGGGGAAUAUUGCACAAUGUGCGCAAGCCUGAUGCAGCCAUGCCGCGUGUAUGAAGAAGGCCUUAGGGUUGUAAAGUACUUUCAGCGGGGAGGCGUUACCCGCAGAAGAAGCACCGGCUAACUCCGUGCCAGCAGCCGCGGUAAUUC
rnacentral:rRNA from 1 species